GUUUUAAUAGUUUAAAAAAAACGCCGGUCUUGUAAACCGAAAAUAAGAUCAGCCCCCACUUUUAAAACU
rnacentral:tRNA from 3 species